CACGUAGGCGGAUGGGUAAGUCAGAUGUGAAAUCCCGGGGCUCAACUUCGGAACUGCAUUUGAUACUGCCCGUCUUGAGUGUGGUAGAGGGGGGAUGGAAUUCCCGGUGUAGAGGUGAAAUUCGUAGAUAUCGGGAGGAACACCAGAGGCGAAGGCGAUCCCCCUGGGCCAUUACUGACGCUGAGGUGCGAAAGCGUGGGGAGCAAACUA
rnacentral:rRNA from 1 species